GACUGGAGAAGGAGCGAAGAUGGCGG
rnacentral:piRNA from 1 species